GCUGGUGAAAAUGAUGACUUGACUUUUUUCCCCAUCAGAUCGACCAUGUUGAGAUCUCUGAACACUUGCCAGUUACUUCUGAUACACCGGC